AGCUAGCACAGGCAUGCCUGGGCCUGGACCCACACCACCAAUGCUGCUGAUGCUGCUGAUGCUGCUGAUGCUCUGCUGGCUGCCUUCGGGAGGUGCCCUGUCUUUGGCCCAGGAGCACCUCCCGGCCUUUCCGGGACCCUCAGAAGCUCGCUCCGGUACGGAUGUCUCCAGAUUCGAGGAGUUUCGGAAACUCUACGAACACCUGCAGACCAGGUUGCGGUUGAACCAAAGCUGGGAAGAUUCAAACCCUGACCGAGUCAUCUCUGAAGCCCAAGUCCGGAUACUCACUCCAAAGCUGCGACUUGGGCUGGGCGGCCACCUGCACCUGCGCAUCGCCCGGGCUGACCUGAGGAAGGGGCUCCCCGCAUCCUUCCGCCUGCAUCGCGCGCUGCUCAGGCUGUCCCCGACGGAGCUGAGCUCGUGGGACGUGACGCGGCCGCUGCGGCGUCAGCUCAGCCUUGGAGGUUCCGGGGCGCCCACCCUCCACCUGCGACUGUUGCCUCAGAGGGACCGCUUGCCGGCGGCGUUGCCUCCUUCUGCACGUCCCCAGCUUGAGCUGCACUGGCGGCCACGCGCGGCCAGAGGGCGCCGCAACGCGCAUGCGCGCUCCAAGGACGACUGCCCCUUGGGGGCGGGGCGCUGCUGCCGCCUGCAAAGCUUGCGCGCGUCGCUCGAGGACUUGGGAUGGGCCAACUGGGUGGUGGCGCCUCGCGAGCUGGACGUGCGCAUGUGUAUCGGCGCGUGCCCAAGCCAGUUCCGGUCGGCCAACACGCACGCGCAGAUGCAGGCGCGCCUGCACGGCCUGAACCCCGACGCGACGCCGGCGCCGUGCUGCGUGCCCGCCCGCUACGAGCCGGUGGUGCUCAUGCACCAAGACAGCGACGGUCGGGUGUCGCUUACGCCCUUCGACGACCUCGUGGCCAAGGACUGCCACUGCCUAUGAGCGGUCCUAGUCUUUCGCUUACGGCUCGUGCGCAGUGGAAGUGACCUCAGAGGUCCUUGCCUGUCGAAGGGGCUUGUGGGUCCUGAGAUACCCGAUUUCCCACCACUGCUAUCUACCCCGUCCGGCGGAGACCGCUGUAUUUAUGAUGGAGCUGGUGACCCUGGGAAGAACCUUCCGCCCCCUGAGCUCAGUUCUCACAGGGGACCUGGUAUUAGGGUCUUUGCCCCUGCUGGUGCUGCCGCCCGAAAUUCCCUCAUUCCCUCAGCCAACCUGGAAAAGUUGAACCCAUCUAAGUCCAGCCAGAUCUGAAGGUGACAGGGC